CCUACGGGAGACAGCAGUGAGGAAUAUUGGUCAAUGGACGAGAGUCUGAACCAGCCAAGUAGCGUGAAGGAUGACUGCCCUAUGGGUUGUAAACUUCUUUUAUAUGGGAAUAAAAUGUUCCACGUGUGGGAUUUUGUAUGUACCCUAUGAAUAAGGAUCGGCUAACUCCGUGCCAGCAGCCGCGGUAAUACGGAGGAUCCGAGCGUUAUCCGGAUUUAUUGGGUUUAAAGGGAGCGUAGGUGGAUUGUUAAGUCAGUUGUGAAAGUUUGCGGCUCAACCGUAAAAUUGCAGUUGAAACUGGCAGUCUUGAGUACAGUAGAGGUGGGCGGAAUUCGUGGUGUAGCGGUGAAAUGCUUAGAUAUCACGAAGAACUCCGAUUGCGAAGGCAGUUCACUGGACUGCAACUGACACUGAGGCUCGAAAGUGUGGGUAUCAAACAGGAUUAGAUACCCGUGUAGUC
rnacentral:rRNA from 1 species